CUUGAACGCUGGCGGCAGGCCUAACACAUGCAAGUCGAACGAGUGGCGGCCGGGUGAGUAAUGUCUGGGAAACUGCCUGAUGGAGGGGGAUCACUACUGGAAACGGUAGCUAAUACCGCAUACCAUCGGAUGAGCCCCGAUGGGAUUAGCUAGUAGGUGGGGUAACGGCUCACCUAGGCGACGAUCUCUAGCUGGUCUGAGAGGAUGGCCAGCCACACGGGGACUGAGACACGGUCCAGACUCCUACGGGAGGCAGCAGUGGGGAAUAUGGCACAAUGGGCGAAAGCCUGAUGCAGCCAUGCCGCGUGUAUGAAGAAGGCCUUAGGGUGGUAAAGGACUUUCAGCGGGGAGGCGUUAACCGCAGAAGAAGCACCGGCUAACUCCGUGCCAGCAGCCGCGGUAAUUC
rnacentral:rRNA from 1 species